rnacentral:tRNA from 1 species
GCUAUUUUGGCAGACAAGUGCAAUGGAUUUAGAAUCUAUAUAUGUAGAUUUUUCUAUAAAUAGUA